GCUGAGGCGUGAUGACGAGGCACUACGGUGCUGAAGCAACAAAUGCCCUGCUUCCAGGAAAAGCCUCUAAGCAUCAGGUAACAUCAAAUCGUACCCCAAACCGACACAGGUGGUCAGGUAGAGAAUACCAAGGCGCUUGAGAGAACUCGGGUGAAGGAACUAGGCAAAAUGGUGCCGUAACUUCGGGAGAAGGCACGCUGAUAUGUAGGUGAAGUCCCUCGCGGAUGGAGCUGAAAUCAGUCGAAGAUACCAGCUGGCUGCAACUGUUUAUUAAAAACACAGCACUGUGCAAACACGAAAGUGGACGUAUACGGUGUGACGCCUGCCCGGUGCCGGAAGGUUAAUUGAUGGGGUUAGCGGUAACGCGAAGCUCUUGAUCGAAGCCCCGGUAAACGGCGGCCGUAACUAUAACGGUCCUAAGGUAGCGAAAUUCCUUGUCGGGUAAGUUCCGACCUGCACGAAUGGCGUAAUGAUGGCCAGGCUGUCUCCACCCGAGACUCAGUGAAAUUGAACUCGCUGUGAAGAUGCAGUGUACCCGCGGCAAGACGGAAAGACCCCGUGAACCUUUACUAUAGCUUGACACUGAACAUUGAGCCUUGAUGUGUAGGAUAGGUGGGAGGCUUAGAAGUGUGGACGCCAGUCUGCAUGGAGCCGACCUUGAAAUACCACCCUUUAAUGUUUGAUGUUCUAACGUUGACCCGUAAUCCGGGUUGCGGACAGUGUCUGGUGGGUAGUUUGACUGGGGCGGUCUCCUCCUAAAGAGUAACGGAGGAGCACGAAGGUUGGCUAAUCCUGGUCGGACAUCAGGAGGUUAGUGCAAUGGCAUAAGCCAGCUUGACUGCGAGCGUGACGGCGCGAGCAGGUGCGAAAGCAGGUCAUAGUGAUCCGGUGGUUCUGAAUGGAAGGGCCAUCGCUCAACGGAUAAAAGGUACUCCGGGGAUAACAGGCUGAUACCGCCCAAGAGUUCAUAUCGACGGCGGUGUUUGGCACCUCGAUGUCGGCUCAUCACAUCCUGGGGCUGAAGUAGGUCCCAAGGGUAUGGCUGUUCGCCAUUUAAAGUGGUACGCGAGCUGGGUUUAGAACGUCGUGAGACAGUUCGGUCCCUAUCUGCCGUGGGCGCUGGAGAACUGAGGGGGGCUGCUCCUAGUACGAGAGGACCGGAGUGGACGCAUCACUGGUGUUCGGGUUGUCAUGCCAAUGGCACUGCCCGGUAGCUAAAUGCGGAAGAGAUAAGUGCUGAAAGCAUCUAAGCACGAAACUUGCC
rnacentral:rRNA from 1 species